AACAUUACCACUGAAUUUACAAUGCUAAAGUCCUGGCAACAUAUAGGCAGGGGAAAUGUCUCUUCCAAGACUAAAUAAACAUCAGAACAAAUGAUAAUUCCAUAUCAAUCAAUGAAUCAAGCAGAAAAUUAUGGAAUCAAGAUUAUUUUACUUUGACAUUUCCCAAACCACUCCAGCCAGGUAGAAAAAAGAGAUCAAGACCUUCAGAAUCACAAAUCUCAGUUCCUCCUGAAGCAAAGUGGAUUCAUAAGCUGCUUUAAAAAACAACUGAGCACUUGGUUUCACAGAAUGGCCUUACCACAGUAAAUACUGGCUACUCUCAGAUGAGCAUUUCUACUUCUGUGGAACUGUAAGAAAUAAAAACAAGUCUUCCAUGAGU